UGGGGAAUAUUGGACAAUGGGCGCAAGCCUGAUCCAGCCAUGCCGCGUGAGUGAUGAAGGCCCUAGGGUUGUAAAGCUCUUUCACCGGUGAAGAUAAUGACGGUAACCGGAGAAGAAGCCCCGGCUAACUUCGUGCCAGCAGCCGCGGUAAUACGAAGGGGGCUAGCGUUGUUCGGAUUUACUGGGCGUAAAGCGCACGUAGGCGGACUUUUAAGUCAGGGGUGAAAUCCCGGGGCUCAACCCCGGAACUGCCUUUGAUACUGGAAGUCUUGAGUAUGGUAGAGGUGGGUGGAAUUCCGAGUGUAGAAGUGAAAUUCGUAGAUAUUCGGAGGAACACCAGUGGCGAAGGCGGCUCACUGGACCAUUACUGACGCUGAGGUGCGAAAGCGUGGGGAGCAAACAGG
rnacentral:rRNA from 1 species